UGGGGAAUAUUGCACAAUGGAGGGAACUCUGAUGCAGCGACGCCGCGUGAGUGAUGAAGGAUUUCGUUUCGUAAAACUCUGUUCUAUGGGAAGAAAAGGACUGUACCAUAGGAGAAAGCUCCGGCUAAAUACGUGCCAGCAGCCGCGGUAAUACGUAUGGAGCGAGCGUUGUCCGGAAUUAUUGGGCGUAAAGGGUGCGCAGGCGGCUUUACAAGUUGGAUGUGAAAUAUUGUGGCUCAACCACAAACGUGCAUCCAAAACUGCAAAGCUUGAGUUAAGGAGAGGUAAGUGGGAUUCCUGGUGUAGCGGUGGAAUGCGUAGAUAUCAGGAGGAAUACCGGUGGCGAAGGCGACUUACUGGACUUAAACUGACGCUCAGGCACGAAAGCGUGGGGAGCAAACAGG
rnacentral:rRNA from 1 species